GCAGUCGAAGGAGAAAUUAGUGCUUGCACUAAUGGAAACUGGCGAACGGGUGCAGUAACACGUGAGAAUCUAUCUUAAGGUGGGGGAUAGCCUAUGGAAACAUGGGAUAAUACCGCAUGUGUGUGGCCAUUAAAUUAUUUAAGAUUAUUUUUAAGUAAUUUAAUGGCCACAUAAAAGGAACUAUUGUUCCGCCUUUUGAUGAGCUUGCGGUCCAUUAGCUAGUUGGUAGGGUAAGAGCCUACCAAGGCAACGAUGGAUAGCCGGCCUGAGAGGGUGACCGGCCACAUUGGGACUGAGACACGGCCCAGACUCCUACGGGAGGCAGCAGCUAAGAAUCUUCCGCAAUGGGAGCAAUCCUGACGGAGCGACGCCGCGUGAACGAUGAAGGCGGAAACGUUGUAAAGUUCUUUUAUACGGGAAGAAUAAUGAUACGAGUGGAAAAUGUGUCAGAUGACGGUACCGUAUGAAUAAGCUCCGGCUAACUACGUGCCAGCAGCCGCGGUAAUACGUAGGGGGCAAGCGUUGUUCGGAUUUAUUGGGCGUAAAGGGCAUGUAGGCUGUUAUGCAAGUGUGGAUUUAAAGACCAAGGCUCAACCUUGUGUAUGGUCUGCAAACUGCAUAACUAGAGUUCAGAAGGGGGAACUGGAAUUCCGCGUGUAGGGGUGAAAUCUGUAGAGAUGCGGAAGAAUACCGGUGGCGAAGGCGAGUUCCUGGCCUGAAACUGACGCUGAUAUGCGAAAGUGUGGGGAGCGAACAGGAUUAGAUACCCCUGGGUAGUCCACACUGUAAACGUUGUACACUAGGUGCUGGUGAUUUAAUAUCUUUAGUGCCGUAGCUAA
rnacentral:rRNA from 1 species